AAUAUAUCACCUGUUUCACUACUUCCAGGUGCGAGUGUGACCGACCAUCCGUUCCCCGUUUCGUAACCGCUACUCUCUCCACUGUCUCUUCCUCCACCCCCCUCCGGCGACCUCACAACCCAAACCCUAGCUCGCCUCCGAUGCCGCCCUUCUCCUCCGCCGCCCUCCUCCGCCCCCGCCCCUUCCCCUCCAUUCUCCCGUCGCACGCCACCGGGCACCUCCUCCGCCGCUUCCUCCCCUUCCGCGCCCUCUCCGUUUCCCUCUCCGCCCGCGAGGACCCCCGCAAGCCCGCCCCCGACAAGAACCUCCUCAAGGCUAAGGACGCUGUCAAGGACCUUCCCUCCGGCGCCGCCUCCCUCUCGCCCGGUCUCGACUCAGGCGACUACCGGAAGCUCCUUCCCAAUCAGGCCAUCGGCCUCGUAGCCGCCGCCCAGGCCAAUUUCAUGCGGGUCAUUGUGGAGUCCGCCGGCGGGCCCCCGGAAAACCCUGGCUUCCUCGUCUCUGAUUGGAGGAUCGGGAGGGAGUUGCUUUGCGUCGUUAGGGCUUUGCUGAAGAAGAUCAAGAGGAGGGUUUUAGUCGGGGAUAAGGUUCUCGUUGGUUCCAUUGAUUGGACCGAUAGGAGGGGGAUGAUCGAGGACGUGUUCAAGAGGAAUACCGAGGUCUUGGACCCUCCUGUCGCUAAUGUGGAUCAUCUGUUGGUGCUGUUCUCGAUGGACCAGCCGAAGCUGGAGCCGUUCGCUCUGACUAGGUUUUUGGUCGAGGCCGAAUCCACCGGGAUCCCGCUUACGUUGGUGCUGAACAAGUCGGAGCUCGUCGGAGAAGAGACUAUAUCUUCUUGGAAUGAAAGGCUUCACAGCUGGGGUUACAAACCACUAUUUUGUAGUGUUGAGCGCAGAUCUGGAUUAGGUGCUCUUGAAGACAUCUUAAAGGGACAAACAACUGUGAUUGUUGGUCCAAGUGGUGUUGGGAAGUCCAGUCUUAUCAAUUCCUUGAGAAGCAGUCAAAGCAUUUCUAAUGAGGAAGAAAUAAAUAAUCUUCUGGAGCAUUAUGAAAGCGGCAAGUGGCUUGGAGAGCAGCGAGUGGGCACUGUCUCUAAAAAAAGUGGCAGAGGAAAGCACACAACCCGACAUGUUUCUUUGCUUCCACUAUCUGUUGGAGGUUUACUUGCUGAUACUCCUGGUUUUAACCAGCCUAGUCUGCUCAAAGUAACAAAGAGAACUCUUGCAGAGACAUUUCCAGAGAUCAGGCAGAUGCUCAAAGCUAGUGAACCUGAGAAAUGUUCAUUUAAGGACUGCUUACACCUUGGUGAACCUGGAUGUGUAGUAACAGGAGACUGGGAAAGAUAUCCAUAUUAUUUGCAAUUGCUUGAUGAGAUCAAAAUCAGAGAGGAGUUUCAGCUACGGACAUUUGGAACAAAGAGAGAAGGUGAUGUGAGUUUGCAUUCUGGCUGUUGCUUAUGAUGGUACGAUAUGAAGUUGGAAUACCAUUAUGGAUAUUGGUUUAAGAGGGGACCUAGCUUCCAUCUUGUAGGAGAUACAUGGCAUCUGCAUUCUACAUCUGCCAACAUGGUGAAACCACGAGUACAAGGUAGGUGACUUGGGCACUAAACAAGCAGAGCCACGACUUGAACUUAAAAAGCACCGAAGGGUAUCUCGGAAACGUCUGAAUCAGUCGAUCCUGGAUGAACUUAAUGAACUUGAUGAUCUUGAUGAGGGCUACUGGGCAGAUAUUGAAGAAGGUGCUAGGUGAAGCUGGCUUAAGGAUGAUCUCUACCUGACAGCCAACAUCACACCUACUGCAAUAAAGAAAUCACGCGACACUGUGAAUACUCAAGUCUAUGCACCUGCUCUUCUGUAAAUUUUCUGUUGUAGAUUCUAAUUUGCUACAGUAUACAAUUAGGGGAUUAGUUGGAAAAAAAAUGUCGGUAUCUUUCCUUCUCAGCAUAGAGGAAAAUUUGCAUUUUGGCAGAAAUUAGCUUAUUUUACUCUCUGAUA